CUGUAAACGAUGUGAACGAGGUGUGGGCAGUGUAGAAGCCGUCUGUGCCGGAGCAAACGCGAUAAGUUCACCGCCUGGGGAGUACGGUCGCAAGGCUAAAACCCAAAGGAAUUGACGGGGGCCCGCACAAGCAGCGGAGCGUGUGGUUUAAUUCGAUGCAACGCGAAGAACCUUACCUGGGCUUGACAUGUACGAAGUAGUGAAGGGAAACCGGAACGAGCCUUCGGGCAGCGUAGACAGGUGCUGCAUGGCUGUCGUCAGCUCGUGUCGUGAGAUGUUGGGUUAAGUCCCGCAACGAGCGCAACCCGUGUUGCUAGUUACAAGUGUCUAGCGAGACUGCCGGUAACAAGCCGGAGGAAGGUGCGGAUGAUGUCAAGUCAGCAUGGCCUAUAUGUCCAGGGCUACACACACGCUACAAUGGCUGGUACAAAGAGAAGCGAAAGGGAGACCUGAAGCGAAUCUCAUCAAAGCCAGUCAUAGUUCGGAUUGCAGGCUGCAACUCGCCUGCAUGAAGUCGGAGUUGCUAGUAACCGCAGGUCAGCAAUACUGCGGUGAAUACGUUCCCGGGCCUUGUACACAC
rnacentral:rRNA from 1 species